CUUUGAAUUGACUCCUAUAGGAUACAGGGAGCCAAUGUAAGGACUGGCAGAGGGGUGAUGUGUGAGAGGACCGACUAGAGAGGAAAAUCAGUUUAGCUGCAGCAUUCAUUACAGACUAGCUGGGCAAUACAGCUUUUGGGGAGACCAAUCUGGAGAGGGUUACAGUAAUCCAUGCGGGAAAUUACUAGAGCAUGGACAAGCUCUUUGGUCGCAUCUUGCGUAAGAAAGGGGCAGAUGCAGGCUAUGUUUUUGAGUUGGAACCUACAGGAUUUGGCAACAAACUGGAUGUGAGGCUCAAAGGUGAGGCCAGAGUCAAGUAUGAUGCCAAGACAGCGUGCUUGCAAGGAUGGACUUAUGUGGAUAUCACUGACUUGAAGGGAGAGCGAGAGAGGAGGAUCAGUAUAAGGAGGAG